AGAAACUGGGUGCCCAAACAUGAAUUUUUUAGGGACGAAUGCUUCUUGUCCGCUUGUGGUCUAAGCAGCAUGUUUAAAAAACAAGAAGCCAAGAAAAUGCUGCCCACCGAGAAGACACCGGCUAGGUCGGCUGCCGACAUCCGGAAAGCCAAUCUCGAGAAAAAACUUGCUGCCCAGGCGGCGAGGAAGGACGGGAAGCAGAUGCCCCGGUCCCUUCAAAAACAGGUCAGGCCUCCGCCGACCCAACAAGAG